GCCUAGCUGUCUCAGUCAGUAGAGCAUGCAACUCUUAAUCUCAGGGUUGUGAGUUCAAGCCCCAUGCUGGGCA
rnacentral:tRNA from 1 species